rnacentral:tRNA from 1 species
GAGGGUAUAGCUCAAGUGGUAGAACACAUGCUUGGCAUGCAUGAGGUACUGGGUUCAAUCCUAGUACCUCCU